UACGAAGGGUGCAAGCGUUAAUCGGAAUUACUGGGCGUAAAGCGUGCGCAGGCGGUUAUGCAAGACAGAUGUGAAAUCCCCGGGCUCAACCUGGGAACUGCAUUUGUGACUGCAUGGCUAGAGUACGGUAGAGGGGGAUGGAAUUCCACGUGUAGCAGUGAAAUGCGUAGAGAUGUGGAGGAAUACCGAUGGCGAAGGCAGCCCCCUGGGCCAAUACUGACGCUCAUGCACGAAAGCGUGGGGAGCAAACAGG
rnacentral:rRNA from 1 species